CCUACGGGUGGCAGCAGUGGGGAAUAUUGGGCAAUGGGCGCAAGCCUGACCCAGCAACGCCGCGUGAAGGAAGAAGGCUUUCGGGUUGUAAACUUCUUUUGUCAGGGACGAAGCAAGUGACGGUACCUGACGAAUAAGCCACGGCUAACUACGGGCCAGCAGCCGCGGUAAUCCGUAGGCGGCAAGCGUUAUGCGGAUUUAAUGGGUGUAAAGGGCGUGUAGGCGGGACUGCAAGGCAGAUGUGAAAACCACGGGCUCAACCUGUGGCCUGCAGUUGACACUGUAGGUCUUGAGUACUGGAGAGGCAGGCGGAAUGCCUGGUGUAGCGGUGAAAUGCGUAGAUAUUAGGAGGAACACCAGUGGCGAAGGCGGUCUGCUGGACAGCAACUGACGCUGAGGCACGAAAGCGUGGGGAGCAAACAGGAUUAGAUACCCCAGUAGUC
rnacentral:rRNA from 1 species